rnacentral:lncRNA from 1 species
GUGUAGAGUGGAACAAAAGUACCUAAUAUAUAAUACCAUAUAACUUAGCCUUCUAAAUAACAUUAAUAAACCUAUUUACACCUUAGACAUUAAUACAACCAAAGCAGCACCACAUGAAGCUCCUAUGGGUUCAGAUCUCUCCAUCUGGAAAAGAAACCAAGAAAAGAUGUUGAGAACGGCAAAGAAGAGAGUUCUCAACCUUCUUGAGAAGAUUUAAAACCAUUAUUAGAUCUGAA